rnacentral:rRNA from 1 species
AUUGAACGCUGGCGGCAUGCUUUACACAUGCAAGUCGAACGGUAACAGGGUGCUUGCACCGCUGACGAGUGGCGAACGGGUGAGUAAUGCGUCGGAACGUGCCGAGUAGUGGGGGAUAACGCAUCGAAAGGUGUGCUAAUACCGCAUACGUACUGAGGUAGAAAGUGGGGGACCUUCGGGCCUCACGCUAUUCGAGCGGCCGACGUCUGAUUAGCUAGUUGGUGAGGUAAAGGCUCACCAAGGCGACGAUCAGUAGCGGGUCUGAGAGGAUGAUCAGCCACACUGGGACUGAGAAACGGCCCAGACUCCUACGGGAGGCAGCAGUGGGGAAUUUUGGACAAUGGGCGCAAGCCUGAUCCAGCCAUGCCGCGUGUCUGAAGAAGGCCUUCGGGUUGUAAAGGACUUUUGUCCGGGAGCAAAUACCCAGUGCUAAUAACGCUGGGGGCUGAGAGUACCGGAAGAAUAAGCACCGGCUAACUACGUGCCAGCCGCCGCAGUAACAC